rnacentral:rRNA from 1 species
UACGAAGGGGGCUAGCGUUGCUCGGAAUCACUGGGCGUAAAGCGCACGUAGGCGGAUUGUUAAGUCAGGGGUGAAAUCCUGGAGCUCAACUCCAGAACUGCCUUUGAUACUGGCGAUCUCGAGUCCGGGAGAGGUGAGUGGAACUGCGAGUGUAGAGGUGAAAUUCGUAGAUAUUCGCAAGAACACCAGUGGCGAAGGCGGCUCACUGGCCCGGUACUGACGCUGGGGUGCGAAAGCGUGGGGAGCAAACAGG